GACAGAGGGUGCAAACGUUGUUCGGAAUUACUGGGCGUAAAGGGCGCGUAGGCGGCCCGCUAAGUCGAACGUGAAAUCCCCAGGCUCAACCUGGGAACUGCGUCCGAUACUGGCAGGCUUGAAUCCGGGAGAGGGAUGUGGAAUUCCAGGUGUAGCGGUGAAAUGCGUAGAUAUCUGGAGGAACACCGGUGGCGAAGGCGGCAUCCUGGGCCGGUAUUGACGCUGAGGCGCGAAAGCUAGGGGAGCAAACGGG
rnacentral:rRNA from 1 species